CUUCCCUGCAGCUGGAUCCUGUCUAACUUUGCAGAAGAAUCCUCUCUUCUGACCUUUGGCACAGAUAGCUGGGCUAUUGAGGUGCAGAGAGCGGCUUCCUGGACUGGGCUGUGGCUCUGCCUGGAAAACGGCCGCCUUCCCCUAAGUGGGAGCUUUGAUUGGAGCGACAGACUCAUGCAACCUCGUUUCAAACAAACUGCAAGUUGCCGACAUGCGACGGUGCGGCAGAGUUCUUACCAGCAAUCACUGCCCACAGACUUGUGAUCGCUAAUACCUUCCUCCUUUUUCCCCCCAUCUACAUUUGGUGCAAAGGGAAAAAACAAAAAGCCAAGUUGUUUGCAUGACUGUAAUAAGAUUGCGGCCUGUAAAUGAGCACAUAUGUUUUUGUUUUUGGUCGGACUGUAUAUACAAACAUAGUUGCAGUUUAAUGGCUGCUAAGUGACUGUCAUGAUUGAUGGCUGGCUUUUAUACCACUCAACAGGCCAUAUAA